CAACUUACCCUUAGGACUGGGAUAACUCCUGGGAAACUGGAGAUAAUACCGGAUAGAGCAUCGAAUGCUGGAAUGCACGAUGUUCAAAAGCUGAGGUGCCUAAGGAUAGGUCUGCGGCCGAUUAGGUUGUUGUUGAUGUGAUGGAUUAACAAGCCUACGAUCGGUAUGGGUUGUGAGAGCAAUAGCCCAGAGAUGGGUUCUGAGAAAAGAACCCAGGUCCUACGGGACGCAUCAGGCGCGAAAACUUUACAAUGUGCGAAAGCACGAUAAGGGAACUCUGAGUGCCUCCUACGGAGGCUGUUCAGUUGUCUAAAACGCAUCUGAAGGAAGGGCUGGGUAAGACCGGUGCCAGCCGCCGCGGUAACACCGGCAGCCCAAGUGGUAGCCAUGUUUAUUGGGUCUAAAGCGUCCGUAGCCGGCCACGUAAGUUCCUUGGGAAAUUURAUCGCUUAACGGUYAAGCUUUCGGGGAAUACUGCUUGGCUUGGGACCGGGAGAGGUCAGAGGUACUCYAAGGGUAGGGGUGAAAUCCAUUAAUCCUUGGGGGACCACCGGUAGCGAAGGCGUCUGACCAGACCGGAUCCGACGGUGAGGGACGAAGGCUAGGGUCACGAACCGGAUUAGAUACCCGGGUAGUCCUAGCUGUAAACGAUGCGGGCCAGGUGUUGGCAUUACUGCGAGUGAUGCCAGUGCCGAAGGGAAGCCGUUAAGCCCGCCAUCUGGGGAGUACGGUCGCAAGGCUGAAACUUAA
rnacentral:rRNA from 1 species